AUUCUGCCCAUGCGGGGAAGGAUGAGAAGCUUCGACCAAGGUCGACGUCGAGCGCCAGCGAGAGAGCGUUGCCGCAGGCAACGACCCGAAGGGCGAAGCGCGCAGCGCUGAGUAAUCCUUCCCCCACCACCA
rnacentral:sRNA from 1 species